rnacentral:lncRNA from 1 species
CUGAAGAGAUUAGAACAACCUGGAACUUUUAUUUUCUGUAAGUUAUUUAGAGGUAAUGAGAACUGAAUUGGAGUGGCGAAUUUGGAAGGGGAAGUUCCUUGUUUGGGAAGAAGACGAAGAAGGGCGAAGCAUAGAAAGCUGAGCGGGAGAGUUUUGGAAAGAAGCUUGGGAAGGAAAGGAGGUAGCUAGCUAGCUAAUCGUGGCGG